rnacentral:rRNA from 1 species
UACGUAGGGACCGAGCGUUAUCCGGAAUCAUUGGGCGUAAAGAGCGUGUAGGCGGCCAUUUAAGUCCUGCGUGAAAUCCUGCGGCUCAACCGCAGACGGUCGUGGGAAACUGGAUGGCUAGAGUGCGGGAGAGGAGAGUGGAAUUCCCGGUGUAGCGGUGAAAUGCGCAGAUAUCGGGAAGAACACCCGUGGCGAAGGCGGCUCUCUGGAACGCAACUGACGCUCAGACGCGAAAGCGUGGGGAGCAAACAGG